AAUGAACGCUGGCGGCAGGCCUAAUACAUGCAAGUCGAACGAGUGGCGGAGGGGUGUGUAAUGUCUGGGAAACUGCCUGAUGGAGGGGGAUAACUACGGGAAACGGUAGCUAAUACCGCAUACCAUCAGAUGAUCCCAGAUGGGAUUCGCCAGUGGGUAGGGUAACGGCUCACCAAGGCGACGAGCCCUAGCUGGUCUGCGAGGAUGACCAGCCACACUGGAACUGAGACACGGUCCAGACUCCUACGGGAGGCAGCAGUGGGGAAUAUUGCACAAUGGGCGCAAGCCUGAUGCAGCCAUGCCGCGUGUAUGAUGAAGGCCUUCGGGUUGUAAAGUACUUUCAGCGGGGAGGCGUUACCCGCAGAAGAAGCACCGGCUAACUCCGUGCCAGCAGCCGCGGUAAUUC
rnacentral:rRNA from 1 species